CCUACGGGUGGCAGCAGUAGGGAAUCUUUCACAAUGGGCGAAAGCCUGAUGGAGCAACGCCGCGUGCAGGAUGAAGGCCUUCGGGUUGUAAACUGCUUUUAUAAGCGAGAAAUAUGAUGGUAACUUAUGAAUAAGGAUCGGCUAACUACGUGCCAGCAGCCGCGGUCAUACGUAGGAUCCGAGCAUUAUCCGGAGUGACUGGGUGUAAAGAGUUGCGUAGGUGGCAUAAUAAGUAGCUAGUGAAAUCUGGUGGCUCAACCAUUCAGACUAUUAGCUAAACUGUUAAGCUCGAGACCGUUAGGGGUAACUGGAAUUUCUGGUGUAGGAGUGAAAUGCGUAGAUAUUAGAAGGAACACCAAUAGCGUAGGCAGGUUACUGGGACGGUUCUGACACUAAGGCACGAAAGCGUAGGGAGCAAACGGGAUUAGAUACCCCGGUAGUC
rnacentral:rRNA from 1 species